UACGUAGGGUGCGAGCGUUGUCCGGAAUUAUUGGGCGUAAAGAGCUCGUAGGCGGCUUGUUGCGUCUGCCGUGAAAAUUCACAGCUCAACUGUGGACGUGCGGUGGAUACGGGCAGGCUUGAGUUCGGUAGGGGAGACUGGAAUUCCUGGUGUAGCGGUGAAAUGCGCAGAUAUCAGGAGGAACACCGGUGGCGAAGGCGGCAUCCUGGACCGAUAUUGACGCUGAGGAGCGAAAGCCAGGGGAGCAAACGGG
rnacentral:rRNA from 1 species